AUGAAUUAUAUGAAAUGCAAAAACGGUCAAAAUUCAUAUCAGAAAUAUACAAGAGCAGAGAGUUCUAUAUAUGUAUGUUCAAAUCUUCUAUUUAAGUUGACAUGUAUUGAACAAAGUCAUAAAGUCAUUCACCAUAGGAUUCCAAACUCCAACUUAUUGAAGUAUGUAUUAUAUCAAUUAUUGACCGUGUUAAAGUUAUACAGCAUAUUUGCAAGUCUGAACAAAGCCAUAAGUAGGGUAGAAGAAUUGGCAAUCGUAAGCAGGAAACUAUUAAGCAAGUACAAAAACAGUGCCGAAAAAACCAAGGGAAACACCGAAAUAAUUCUGCAAAUCAAAAUCAUAUAA